GAUGAACGCUGGCGGCGUGCCUAAUACAUGCAAGUCGAGCGAACAGACGAGGAGCUUGCUCCUUUGACGUUAGCGGCGGACGGGUGAGUAACACGUGGAUAACCUACCUAUAAGACUGGGAUAACUUCGGGAAACCGGAGCUAAUACCGGAUAACAUGUUGAACCGCAUGGUUCAACAGUGAAAGACGGUCUUGCUGUCACUUAUAGAUGGAUCCGCGCCGCAUUAGCUAGUUGGUAAGGUAACGGCUUACCAAGGCAACGAUGCGUAGCCGACCUGAGAGGGUGAUCGGCCACACUGGAACUGAGACACGGUCCAGACUCCUACGGGAGGCAGCAGUAGGGAAUCUUCCGCAAUGGGCGAAAGCCUGACGGAGCAACGCCGCGUGAGUGAAGAAGGUCUUCGGAUCGUAAAACUCUGUUAUUAGGGAAGAACAAAUGUGUAAGUAACUAUGCACGUCUUGGCGGUACCUAAUCAGAAAGCCACGGCUAACUACGUG
rnacentral:rRNA from 1 species